rnacentral:rRNA from 1 species
AUAUCAAUAAGCGGAGGAAAAGAAACCAACAGGGAUUGCCUUAGUAACGGCGAGUGAAGCGGCAACAGCUCAGAUUUGAAAGCCGGCAACCGCCCGCAUUGUAAUCUGCAGAGGAACGUUUGGCUGCGGUACGGGUCCAAGUCUUCUGGAAUGAUGCGCCUUAGAGGGUGAGAGCCCCGUAUAUGAUCCACAACCAAAGCCGUGCAAGCGUCCUUCGACGAGUCGAGUUGUUUGGGAAUGCAGCUCAAAGCGGGUGGGUGAAAUUACCAUCUAA